rnacentral:tRNA from 1 species
GGAAAGGGGCUGUGGCCCAGUGGUAGAUCAUCCACUUGACCCGCGGGAGGAACUAGGUUCAACCCCUACCCUCUCCA